GAGGGUAUAGCUUAGUGGUAAAGUGCAUGUUUAGCUUGCAUAAGGUCCUGGGUUCAAUCCCCAGUACCUCCA
rnacentral:tRNA from 1 species